rnacentral:rRNA from 1 species
CCUACGGGCGGCAGCAGUGGGGAAUAUUGGGCAAUGGAGGAAACUCUGACCCAGCAACGCCGCGUGAAUGAUUAAGGUCCUCGGAUUUUUAAAUUCUUUUCUUAGGGAAGAAGAAAGUGACGGUACCUUACGAAUAAGCCUCGGCUAACUACGUGCCAGCAGCCGCGGUAAUACGUAGGAGGCGUGCGUUAUCCGGAGUGACUGGGCGUAAAGGGUGCGUGGGUUGUUUGGCAAGUUAGUAGCUUAACUCCGAGGCUCAACCUUGGAACUGCUACUAAAACUGGUGGACUUGAGUGCAGGAGGGGGAACCGGAAUUCGUGGUGUAGCGGUGGAAUGCGUAGAUAUUAGGAGGAACACCAGUGGCGAAGGCGGGUUGCUAGACUGUAACUGACACUGAGGCACGAAAGCGUGGGGAGCGAACAGGAUUAGAUACCCUUGUAGUC